ACACAAGUCAAGCUCUCCAAGAAAAAGAAUUGGAUUUGAAAACAUGUGCAGACCUCUGUCAUUAGCAGACUACUUACACACUUUGAGGAAUGAUUUAGAAAGAUCUGAAGACAUAUCAAAAUAUAUCUUACCUGAUACUAACUACAAAGAAGCCCAGUCCCGCAAGCGAAUCAGGAAAAAACAAGCAAAUGAUAGCAGUGCCACAAAAACAGCACUGAAUCCUAGAGACAAAUUUCA